UACGUAGGGGGCAAGCGUUGUCCGGAAUUAUUGGGCGUAAAGCGCGCGCAGGCGGCUGUUUAAGUCUGGUGUUUAAGACAAGGGCUCAACUCUUGUUCGCAUCGGAAACUGGGCAGCUUGAGUGUAGGAGAGGAAAGUGGAAUUCCACGUGUAGCGGUGAAAUGCGUAGAGAUGUGGAGGAACACCAGUGGCGAAGGCGACUUUCUGGCCUAUAACUGACGCUGAGGCGCGAAAGCGUGGGGAGCAAACAGGAUUAGAAACCCCCGUAGUCC
rnacentral:rRNA from 1 species